rnacentral:piRNA from 1 species
UAGGCAAGAGCAAACCCUGGGUGGA